rnacentral:rRNA from 1 species
ACUCCGUACGGGAGGCAGCAGUAGGGAAUCUUCCGCAAUGGACGAAAGUCUGACGGAGCAACGCCGCGUGAGUGAAGAAAGGUUUUCGGAUCGUAAAACUCUGUUGUAAGGGAAGAACAAGUACGUUAGUAACUGAACGUACCUUGACGGUACCUUACCAGAAAGCCACGGCUAACUACGUGCCAGCAGCCGCGGUAAUACGUAGGUGGCAAGCGUUUAUCCGGAAUUUAUUUGGGCGUAAAGCGCGCGUAGGCGGUCUCUUAAGUCUGAUGUGAAAAGCCCCCGGCUCAACCGGGGAGGGUCAUUGGAAACUGGGAGACUUGAGUGCAGAAGAGGAGAGUGGAAUUCCAUGUGUAGCGGUAGAAAUGCGCAGAGAUAUGGAGGAACACCAGUGGCGAAGGCGGCUCUCUGGUCU